rnacentral:rRNA from 1 species
CAGUCGCCACGGUAAUACGUAGGGGGCUAGCGUUGCUCGGAAUGACUGGGCGUAAAGGGCGCGUAGGCGGCUUGGUUAGUUAGGCGUGAAAUUCCUGGGCUCAACCUGGGGACUGCGCUUAAUACAGCCAGGCUAGAGUGUGAAAGAGGGUUGUGGAAUUCCCAGUGUAGAGGUGAAAUUCGUAGAUAUUGGGAAGAACACCGGUGGCGAAGGCGGCAACCUGGUUCAUAACUGACGCUGAGGCGCGAAAGCGUGGGGAGCAAACAGGAUUAGAUACCCCAGUAGUCCCUGUCUCUUAUAC